rnacentral:rRNA from 1 species
GGGUUGUGAGGUUAAGCGACUAAGCGUACACGGUGGAUGCCCUGGCAGUCAGAGGCGAUGAAGGACGUGCUAAUCUGCGAAAAGCGCCGGCGAGGUGAUAUGAACCUUUGACCCGGCGAUGUCCGAAUGGGGAAACCCAGUGCAAUCCGUUGCACUAUCGUUAACUGAAUACAUAGGUUAACGAGGCGAACCGGGGGAACUGAAACAUCUAAGUACCCCGAGGAAAAGAAAUCAACCGAGAUUCCCCCAGUAGCGGCGAGCGAACGGGGAGCAGCCCGGAGUCUGAAUCAGCUUGUGUGUUAGUGGAACGGUCUGGAAAGUCCGACGGUACAGGGUGAUAGUCCCGUACACGAAAGCACACUUGCUGUGAACUCGAAGAGUAGGGCGGGACACGUGGUAUCCUGUCUGAAUAUGGGGGGACCAUCCUCCAAGGCUAAAUACUCCUGACUGACCGAUAGUGAACCAGUACCGUGAGGGAAAGGCGAAAAGAACCCCGGCGAGGGGAGUGAAAAAGAACCUGAAACCGUGUACGUACAAGCAGUGGGAGCCUCUUUAUGGGGUGACUGCGUACCUUUUGUAUAAUGGGUCAGCGACUUAUAUUCUGUAGCAAGGUUAACCGUAUAGGGGAGCCGAAGGGAAACCGAGUCUUAACUGGGCGUUAAGUUGCAGGGUAUAGACCCGAAACCCGGUGAUCUAGCCAUGGGCAGGUUGAAGGUUGGGUAACACUAACUGGAGGACCGAACCGACUAAUGUUGAAAAAUUAGCGGAUGACCUGUGGCUGGGGGUGAAAGGCCAAUCAAACCGGGAGAUAGCUGGUUCUCCCCGAAAGCUAUUUAGGUAGCGCCUCGUGAACUCAUCUUCGGGGGUAGAGCACUGUUUCGGCUAGGGGGCCAUCCCGGCUUACCAACCCGAUGCAAACUACGAAUACCGAAGAAUGUUAUCACGGGAGACACACGGCGGGUGCUAACGUCCGUCGUGAAGAGGGAAACAACCCAGACCGCCAGCUAAGGUCCCAAAGUCAUGGUUAAGUGGGAAACGAUGUGGGAAGGCACAGACAGCCAGGAUGUUGGCUUAGAAGCAGCCAUCAUUUAAAGAAAGCGUAAUAGCUCACUGGUCGAGUCGGCCUGCGCGGAAGAUGUAACGGGGCUAAACCAUGCACCGAAGCUGCGGCAGCGACGCUUAGGCGUUGUUGGGUAGGGGAGCGUUCUGUAAGCCGUUGAAGGUGUCCUGUGAGGGGUGCUGGAGGUAUCAGAAGUGCGAAUGCUGACAUAAGUAACGAUAAAGCGGGUGAAAAGCCCGCUCGCCGGAAGACCAAGGGUUCCUGUCCAACGUUAAUCGGGGCAGGGUGAGUCGACCCCUAAGGCGAGGCCGAAAGGCGUAGUCGAUGGGAAACAGGUUAAUAUUCCUGUACUUGGUGUUACUGCGAAGGGGGGACGGAGAAGGCUAUGUCAGCCGGGCGACGGUUGUCCCGGUUUAAGCAUGUAGGCGGAGGUUCCAGGUAAAUCCGGUACCUUAUUAACGCUGAGGUGUGAUGACGAGGCACUACGGUGCUGAAGUGAUAAAUGCCCUGCUUCCAGGAAAAGCCUCUAAGCAUCAGGUAACACGAAAUCGUACCCCAAACCGACACAGGUGGUCAGGUAGAGAAUACCAAGGCGCUUGAGAGAACUCGGGUGAAGGAACUAGGCAAAAUGGUGCCGUAACUUCGGGAGAAGGCACGCUGAU